rnacentral:SRP_RNA from 1 species
GCUGGGUGUAGUGGUGCACACCUGUAGUCCCAGCUACUUGGGAGGCUGAGGUGGGAGGAUCUCUUGUGCCCAGGAGGCUGAGGCUACAGCGGGCCAUAUUUAUGCCACUGUACUCCAGCCUGGCAACAGAGAGAAACCCUGUCUCAAAAAAGAAACGAAGAUAAAAGAAAAUGAAAAAGAGAAGGUAUGCUCUGUAGCCCUAGGUUAGACUUUUUUUUUUUUUUUUUUUUUGAGACGGAGUUUUGCUCUUGUUGCCCAGGCUGGAGUGCAAUGGCAUAAAUUUGGCCCGCUGUAGCCUCAGCCUCCUGGGCUCAAGAGAUCCUCCCACCUC